GGUGAAGGUAGGAAGGGCGCACGGAGGAUGCCUAGGCGCCAGGAGCCGACGAAGGACGGGGCGAACACCGAAAUGCCACGGGGAGCUGUAAGCGAGCAUGGAUCCGUGGAUGUCCGAAUGGGGGAACCCACUGACCGUCAUGGGUCAGUACCGCUUACUGAAUACAUAGGUAAGUGGAGGCAACCGGGAGAACUGAAACAUCUCAGUACCCCGAGGAAGAGAAAACAAACGUGAUUCCGCAAGUAGUGGCGAGCGAACGCGGAAGAGCCCAAACCAGUGCUGUGUAAAAGGUUGCAGCCGUUGCAGGACUGGGGUAGCGGGACUUGUGCGGAGGGCACUGCAAGGCCGUCGCGAAGUGAGAAACUGAGUCUGUAGUCGAACGGCAUGGGAAGGCCGGCCAGAGACGGUGAGAGCCCGGUAGGCGAAACAGAAUCAGCUUCGUGGCACAAGGACCCAAGUACCGCGGGACACGAGAAACCCCGUGGGAAUCCGGGAGGACCACCUCCUAAGGCUAAAUACUCCCUGGCGACCGAUAGCGGAUAGUACCGUGAGGGAAAGGUGAAAAGAACCGCGGGAGCGGAGUGAAAGAGAACCUGAAACCGUGUGCUUACAAUCAGUCGGAGCAUGCGUGACAUGUGACGGCGUGCCUUUUGUAGAAUGAACCGGCGAGUGAUGAUGACGAGCGAGGUUAAGGCGGGAAAGCCGGAGCCGCAGCGAAAGCGAGUCUGAAGAGGGCGGAUAGUUCGUUGUCAUCGACCCGAAACCGGGUGAUCUACCCCUGGUCAGGGUGAAGUGCGGGUAACACCGCAUGGAGGCCCGAACCCACCGGCGUUGAAAAGCCGGGGGAUGAACUGGGGGUAGGGGAGAAAUUCCAAUCGAACCCGGAGAUAGCUGGUUCUCCCCGAAAUCGCUUUAGGGCGAGCGUCAAGGGAAGAGGGACGGAGGUAGAGCACUGAUUGAGUGCGGGGCCCGACCAGGGUUACCAAGUUCAGUCAAACUCCGAAUGCCGUUUUAUCAACCUUGGCAGUCAGACUACGAGUGCUAAGAUCCGUGGUCAAAAGGGAAACAGCCCAGACCAACAGCUAAGGUCCCGAAGUGCCAGUUAAGUGGGAAACGAUGUGGCGGUGCACAGACAACCAGGAUGUUGGCUUAGAAGCAGCCACCAUUGAAAGAGUGCGUAAUAGCUCACUGGUCGAGUGCUGCCGCGCGGAAAAUGUAACGGGGCUAAACUGGACACCGAAGCUAUGGAUGCAGGAAUGCAUGGUAGGGGAGCGUUCCAUGGGCGGAGAAGCUGAGC
rnacentral:rRNA from 1 species